rnacentral:rRNA from 1 species
UGGGGAAUUUUGGGCAAUGGGCGAAAGCCUGACCCAGCAACGCCGCGUGAAGGACGAAAUCCCUCUGGGAUGUAAACUUCGAAAGUCAGGAAAGAAAUCCGUGAGGAUAAUACCCCCACGGGAUGACGGUACCUGACGUAAGCCCCGGCUAACUACGUGCCAGCAGCCGCGGUAAUACGUAGGGGGCAAGCGUUGUUCGGAAUUACUGGGCGUAAAGGGCGCGUAGGCGGCACGGCAAGUCAGGAGUGAAAGGCCUGGGCUCAACCGAGGAACUGCUUUUGAGACUGCCGAGCUAGAGUGCAGAAGGGGCAACUGGAAUUCCCAGUGUAGCGGUGAAAUGCGUAGAUAUUGGGAAGAACACCUGAGGCGAAGGCGGGUUGCUGGGCUGACACUGACGCUGAGGCGCGAAAGCCAGGGGAGCAAACGGGAUUAGAUACCCCGGUAGUCCUGGCCCUAAACGA